AUGACUCUAAUUGUGAGGAGCGUAAACAUGUCAAGCACCACUACAAAAAUAGAGGUGUUUUUUCUAGAGUUCUUGAAGGUGGAUGAUACAUCGGGCCUUGGACUUUAUAAUGUGCUUAUAGAUUCACUUGAAUCUAUCGGUUUGUAUUUUAGUGACAUGUGUGGCCAAGAUUAUGACAAUGGUUCUAACAUAAAGGGAAAGCACCAAGGGGUACAGAGCAGAUUACUUGCAACUAAUCCAAGAGCACUGUACAUGCCAUGUGCUUGUCACAGCCUGAAUCUUACUCUUAGUGAUAUUGCAAAAUCUUGUGGCAAAGCUAUUACUUUCUUUGGUGUUGUGCAAAUAAUUUACAUACUGUUUUCAUCCUCUACUAAAAGAUGGCAGCUAUUGCUUGAUCAUGUUCCAAAAAUGACAGUUAAGUCUUUGUGUAACACUCGAUGGGAGAGUCGAAUAAAUAGUGUUCAUGCUAUCAGAUAUCAAGCACCCGAGGUAAGAAAAGAAGUAUUGGAAUUGAAGAGAACUUCUAGUGACGAUGCCAAGACCAAGAAUUGA
rnacentral:rRNA from 1 species